GUGAAGGCCUAUUGAAAUUGUCAAGAUUUAUACUCUCCGCCCAUUCGUUUUUGUAAUGUUUUGUAUCAUCUGUAGAGCUCCAAGAACCAUUAGUUUCGCCCCAACCAUCAUCCAGGUUUCCCCAUGAAGCUUCAGGAUCAUCGGGGGCAAACCAAGAGGAUUUUGCUUGAUACUUCGGACGAAAUUGUGGAUCGCUAUUCGAAUCAAGCUCCAUAAACAUCGACGUAUCGGUAUGAUCAAGAGACUUAGAAGAUUCACGAAAUCCAGUAGAAUUAUCAUCCCAGCCAACAGACUUAGAGUCAGAACUGCGAAU